rnacentral:lncRNA from 1 species
CAAGUAGGGGGUAGGUCAUCAAAUUGUCGAGAUCAGCAGACGUAUUCCAUGUGAAUGUGACAUCUCUAUUCCAUCGAGACGUUGUCCGAGAAAGUUAUCUCAGCGAUUGGCUCAUGGCGGGACAAUUUUUUGUCUGAUUUUUAUCGUCAAUGCCUGGGUGAAGUCUGAGCUUCUUCAUUGCAUUACGUGCACGUGAUUGCUGACUUGUCAUGAAGAGCAGAAGAGGGUCUCCACUAUUUUGCAAGAAAAUCGAGAUGAAAAGAGGAAAUUUGAAAAGGGUUUCUUGUUCAGUUUGAACUGUUAAUAGUGUUUGGUGUGCAGUGGUUUUGCAGUCAUUCAGUCGAGAUGCCCUGAGAUGGAUGAUCAACUGCUGAGAAUCCCUCACAUCAUCAUCUCUAUGGAGACGCUGUCCGAAAAGGUUUACCUUGGCCAUUAAAGUCAUGAGGUCUGCUGUACACUUCCCCCAAAAUGUCGUCUCUUGGUUCAUGUUGCACGUUUCAUCACAGAAGUACUUCAGAAUAGUAAAAGCAAUAAUGUUGAUUAACUUUGAAAUCUGAAGACUUGAACAACAUUGUAAUGGAAAUAGGAAAUCAGAAAUAGCAAUAAUGUUUCCAUGGUCAGCUUGAUGUUUGAACAGUUUUGUUAUGGCUGUUUGGUGUGCAGUGAUUCUCCAGGAGAGAUGUGUCAAAAAGUAGUCAUGUUGGUAGAGUUUUUUCCAGGGACAAAGAGCCCUAUGUUGGCCAACAACAUUUUAAAUUAACUAGACUGCAACAAAGAAAGUUCAGUGACAUGAAAAAUAAACUUACACACAAAACCACCAAUCAGUUAU